rnacentral:misc_RNA from 1 species
AUUAUGUUAUUUUCCAGUUCAGUGAUGCAGUGCUCAGGGAUAUAAUGCCACUGGAUCUUAACCAAAAAAAAAAAAAGAUGGAAAUUUUCAAAAGACAUAUUCCAAGAAGCAUUAUUUUCAAAUCUCUUUGUGGUGCAAACUUUUCCAGACAGACACCUUCAAUUGUUAGACAUAGAUAUUUUAACUACCAAGGACAAAAGACCAAAGUUGAAAAAAAGGGAGAUUGUGAUUACAAAUCAAAUCAAAUCAAAAACCCAUGUGACAUGGAUUUUGUGUACCACUGGCAUUCCUUUGAAGCUGAUGUAAGAAGGGAAUUGGAUGCUGUUAGCAGUGUGUGUGUUCUUUUAAGACAGUUUUUAAAAGUCCAGUUAAUCUCAAAGAAUAAAGUAUAUGAAAUUGUC